AACGAACGCUGGCGGCAUGCCUAACACAUGCAAGUCGAACGAACCCUUCGGGGUUAGUGGCGCACGGGUGCGUAACGCGUGGGAAUCUGCCCUUGGCUUCGGAAUAACAGUUAGAAAUGACUGCUAAUACCGGAUGAUGUCGCAAGACCAAAGAUUUAUCGGCCAGGGAUGAGCCCGCGUAGGAUUAGGUAGUUGGUGGGGUAAAGGCCUACCAAGCCGACGAUCCUUAGCUGGUCUGAGAGGAUGAUCAGCCACACUGGGACUGAGACACGGCCCAGACUCCUACGGGAGGCAGCAGUGGGGAAUAUUGGACAAUGGACGCAAGUCUGAUCCAGCAAUGCCGCGUGAGUGAUGAAGGCCUUAGGGUUGUAAAGCUCUUUUACCCGGGAUGAUAAUGACAGUACCGGGAGAAUAAGCUCCGGCUAACUCCGUGCCAGCAGCCGCAGUAACAC
rnacentral:rRNA from 1 species